rnacentral:rRNA from 1 species
AGGAUGAACGCUGGCGGCGUGCCUAAUACAUGCAAGUCGAGCGGCAGCGCGGUCUUCGGACUGGCGGCGAGCGGCGGACGGCUGAGUAACACGUAGGAACGUACCCCAAAGUGAGGGAUAAGCACCAGAAAUGGUGUCUAAUACCGCAUAUGAUCUUAGGAUCAAAGCUUCGGCGCUUUGGGAACGGCCUGCGUCCGAUUAGCUAGUUGGUGAGGUAAUGGCUCACCAAGGCGACGAUCGGUAGCUGGUCUGAGAGGAUGAUCAGCCAGACUGGGACUGAGAACGGCCCAGACUCCUACGGGAGGCAGCAGUAGGGAAUUUUCCACAAUGGGCGAAAGCCUGAUGGAGCAACGCCGCGUGCAGGAUGAAGGCUCUAGGGUCGUAAACUGCUUUUAUCUGUGAAGAAUAUGACGGUAACAGAUGAAUAAGGAUCGGCUAACUCCGCGCCAGCAGCCGCGGU